GACGUAGGGGGCGAGCGUUGUCCGGAUUUAUUGGGCGUAAAGCGCGCGCAGGCGGUUCGGAAAGUCGGAUGUGAAAAUCCGGGGCUCAACCCCGGACCUGCAUCCGAUACUCCCGGACUCGAGGCAGGUAGGGGAGAGCGGAAUUCCCGGUGUAGCGGUGAAAUGCGCAGAUAUCAGGAAGAACACCCGUGGCGAAGGCGGUUCUCUGGGACGGUACUGACGCUGAGACGCGAAAGCGUGGGGAGCGAACAGG
rnacentral:rRNA from 1 species